rnacentral:rRNA from 1 species
AACGAACGCUGGCGGCAGGCUUAACACAUGCGAGUCGAGCGCCCCGCAGGGGGAGCGGCAGACGGGUGAGUAACGCGUGGGAAUCUACCCAUCUCUACGGAAUAACGCAUGGAAACGUGUGCUAAUACCGUAUACGUCCUUCGGGAGAAAGGUUUAUCGGAGAUGGAUGAGCCCGCGUUGGAUUAGCUAGUUGGUGGGGUAAAGGCCUACCAAGGCGACGAUCCAUAGCUGGUCUGAGAGGAUGAUCAGCCACACUGGGACUGAGACACGGCCCAGACUCCUACGGGAGGCAGCAGUGGGGAAUAUUGGACAAUGGGCGCAAGCCUGAUCCAGCCAUGCCGCGUGAGUGAUGAAGGCCCUAGGGUUGUAAAGCUCUUUCACCGGUGAAGAUAAUGACGGUAACCGGAGAAGAAGCCCCGGCUAACUUCGUGCCAGCCGCCGCCGUAAGAC